rfam:Stegodyphus mimosarum contig5444, whole genome shotgun sequence.
GCCUUCGAGGUGUAAUGGCUAGCACACUCGGCACGUAUUCGAGAGGUCCGAGGUUCGAAUCCCGGCGAGAGCA